rnacentral:rRNA from 1 species
GGAAUAUUGGACAAUGGGCGCAAGCCUGAUCCAGCCAUGCCGCGUGAGUGAAGAAGGCCUUAGGGUUGUAAAGCUCUUUCACCCGUGACGAUGAUGACGGUAGCGGGAGAAGAAGCCCCGGCUAACUCCGUGCCAGCAGCCGGGGUAAUACGGCGGGGGCAAGCGUUGUCCGGAAUUACUGGGCGGAAAGGGCGCGUAGGCGGCCCGUCGCGUCAGAUGAGAAAUCCCCGGGCUCGACCUGGGAACUGCAUUUGAUACGGGCGGGCUAGAAUCCGGGAGAGGAUGGUGGAAUUCCCAGUGUAGAGGUGAAAUUCGUAGAUAUUGGGAAGAACACCGAUGGCGAAGGCAGCCAUCUGGACCGGCAUUGACGCUGAGGCGCGAAAGCGUGGGGAGCAAAC